rnacentral:lncRNA from 11 species
UGUCUGUGUUGAGGCCUGGCCUGAGGAGGAGGAGGAAGGGGAUCCUGAACUGGAGCCCACCACUUCUGUAGUGAUAUGGGGAAUCUGUGCACAAGCCUGUUGUGAAUAUGUGAAUAGCAGAUUCAGUAGGAGUAUGUGCUUGCAUUAUAUAUAUUUCUCCUUUUCUAAUUUGCCAUAUUCAUUAACAUAUUUGGGAACCGAGGAGAAACACAGUAUCAGGAG